rnacentral:sRNA from 1 species
AUAUCUCUCCGUACGGGAAGGAUGAGAAGCUUCGACUAAGGUUCGAUUCGAGCGCAGCGAGAAAGCGUUGCCGCAGGCAACGACCCGAAGGGUGAAGCGCG